CCCAGACUCCUACGGGAGGCAGCAGUGGGGAAUAUUGCACAAUGGGGGAAACCCUGAUGCAGCGACGCCGCGUGAGCGAAGAAGUACCUCGGUAUGUAAAGCUCUAUCAGCAGGGAAGAAGAUGACGGUACCUGACCAAGAAGCUCCGGCUAAAUACGUGCCAGCAGCCGCGGUAAUACGUAUGGAGCAAGCGUUAUCCGGAUUUACUGGGUGUAAAGGGAGCGCAGGCGGCCUUGCAAGUCUGAUGUGAAAUGCCGGGUCCCAACCCCGAGACUGCAUUGGACACUGCGAGGCUGGAGUGUCGGAGAGGCAGGCGGAAUUCCUAGUGUAGCGGUGAAAUGCGUAGAUAUUAGGAGGAACACCAGUGGCGAGGGCGG
rnacentral:rRNA from 1 species